UCUGACUUUGAAAGAGCAAGUAUCACAGACAGAUAAUAACAGUACUAAAGCAUCUCACAUUGAUGAGGCUCAGUUAUACUUUGAGGCAGUAGGUGGAGAGAAAAAAAGAAGGGUGUACAGUCUUGGAUCACAGGCUUCAAUUUUCUUCCCAAACAAGCCUUCUGCUAGUACAUCCUUCACAUUAGCUCAGCAAAAUCAGGAUCUUCAAGAUGAAAUGGCUAAUCUCAGACGCAAGCUACAGGAGUGUGAGGAUAAUGAAUAAGUAUUGCAUGAGCAAAACGUGCGGAUUACCUCUAAGCUCUCACAGGUGAAGGAUUUACUUAGGCAGCUCGUGAGUCAAGGGUAAGACAGCCAACCUUCAGCUCCUGGUGAGGGAACUUCUGCACAUCCUCCUGAUCAAGCAGAUGAAGCUAAUGAUGAGGACGAGGACGAGAACACUACACAUUUAUAGUUUCUUUUUUCAUUACCC
rnacentral:lncRNA from 1 species